CCAAUAGCGUAUAUUAAAGUUGUUGCAGUUAAAAAGCUCGUAGUUGAAUUCCGGGGUUAGUAGGUUGGUCAUGCCUCUGGUAUGUACUGGUCUCACUGAUUCCUCCUUCCUGAUGAACCGUAAUGCCAUUAAUUUGGUGUUUCGGGGAAUUUGGACUGUUACUUUGAAAAAAUUAGAGUGUUUAAAGCAAGCUAACGCUUGAAUACAUUAGCAUGGAAUAAUGAAAUAGGACGUUCGAUCCUAUUUUGUUGGUUUCUAGGAUUGACGUAAUGAUUAAUAGGGAUAGUUGGGGGCAUUAAUAUUCAAUUGUCAGAGGUGAAAUUCUUGGAUUUAUUGAAGACUAACUACUGCGAAAGCAUUUGCCAAGGAUGUUUUCAUUAAUCAAGAACGAAAGUUAGGGGAUCGAUGACGAUCAGAUACCGUCGUAAUCUUAACCAUAAACUAUGCCGACUAGGGAUCGGAUGAUGUUAAUUUUUUAAUGACUCAUUCGGCGCCUUACG
rnacentral:rRNA from 1 species